UACCUUUGUACAGGUUAUGGUUAUCACAGCCUCUUCAAGGCCGGGAUAAAGAGGGAAUAUCGGUGUAAAUCCGAAGCAGUGCCCGCUACUGUAAUAUUCGUAAGUAAGAAAAGAGAUCGCUGACCACUGUCCGCUGUAAGUAUGGAUGGGAAGGUUCUUUUCUUGAAUAAAGCCAGGAGACCUGCCAUGACUUUUUCCAAACA
rnacentral:ncRNA from 1 species